GCCAGCAGCCAUAUCACCCUGAAACUCACAACUGAUAAUCUACUGAAGCUCAGCAGGAAUGAGCCUGGUCAGUACCUGGUUGAGAGACUUCCUGGGAAAGCUAAGGUUGAUGCUGGAA
rnacentral:rRNA from 1 species